rnacentral:pre_miRNA from 1 species
UACAAUAUUUUAACUCUUCGUUUUAAUUGAAAUUUUUUACGAUUAAUAUUUUUAUUCUUACUAUAUUAUAAAACAUGAAUAAUACUUUAUACGUGACUAAUUUUUUAAGUUUUUUUUAUAAAUUUUUCAAAUAAGACGAAUGGUCAAACGUUGGA